GCCAGAACAGUGGCUAUGGAGUGUUUUAGAGGAAAUUAAAUGCAGUAAUCCUUCAUCUAAACUCUGUGCUACAAGGCGCAGUGCUGGAAUUCCUUUCUACAUACAGGCACUGUUGGCGUCUGAACCAAAGAAAGGCAAAAUGGAUUUGUUGAAAAUAACAAUGAAACAGUUAAUCUCUUUGGCUGGGCCUACAGAUGACUUACAGAGUACAGUCCCCCAGGUUCAUGCUUUAAAUAUCCUUAGAGCAUUGUUCAGAGAUACGCGCCUGGGAGAAAAUAUUAUUCCUUAUGUUGCUGAUGGAGCUAAGGCUGCAAUUCUGGGUUUUACAUCACCGGUCUGGGCAGUGCGAAAUUCAUCCACACUUCUGUUUAGUGCCUUGAUCACAAGAAUUUUUGGAGUUAAAAGGGCAAAGGAUGAACAUUCCAAAACAAAUAGGACCCAGUUUGGCCCAGUGAUCUUUCUCUUGAGGAUCUAGAGUUAUAUUCAAAGCCCUAUUCCCUUCUUACCUAAAAAAGUCAUAUGCUUCAUAUUUAAGUUUUAAGCUAAUGUUUAUUGAAAUGCAUUUUUGUGUGAUGGAACUAAAUCUUAGGAAUUAAAAAAAUAUGAAAUC
rnacentral:sRNA from 1 species